ACAUGCCUACAACAUAGCGUUAAUGCAUCGGAUCACAUUAGAACUUUGCAAUUAAGUGUUCUUAGGCUAGAGUAGUACUGGGAUGGGUGACCUCCUGGGAAGUCCUAGUGUUUUACAUGUC
rfam:Picea glauca, whole genome shotgun sequence.